rnacentral:rRNA from 1 species
UAAUGCCGGGAACUCUAAGGAGACUGCCCCGGAAAUCGGGGAGGAAGGUGGGGAUGACGUCAAGUCCUCAUGGCCUUUAUGUCCAGGGCUACACACGUGCUACAAUGGGCGGUACAAAGGGUCGCGAAAGCGCGAGCUAGAGCUAAUCCCAAAAAACCGUCCUCAGUUCGGAUUGCCACACUCGACUGCAUGAAGGUGGAAUCGCUAGUAAUCCCGGAUCAGAAUGCCGGGGUGAUA